CCUACGUGAGGCUGCAGUGGGGAAUAUUGCACAAUGGGGGAAACCCUGAUGCAGCGACGCCGCGUGAGUGAGGAAGUAUUUCGGUAUGUAAAGCUCUAUCAGCAGGGAAGAAAAUGACGGUACCUGACUAAGAAGCCCCGGCUAACUACGUGCCAGCAGCCGCGGUAAUACGUAGGGGGCAAGCGUUAUCCGGAUUUACUGGGUGUAAAGGGAGCGCAGGCGGCGUGGCAAGUCAGAUGUGAAAACCCGGGGCCCAACCCCGGGAGUGCAUUUGAAACUGCCAUGCUGGAGUGCCGGAGAGGUAAGCGGAAUUCCUAGUGUAGCGGUGAAAUGCGUAGAUAUUAGGAGGAACACCAGUGGCGGAGGCGGCUUACUGGACGGUAACUGACGCUGAGGCUCGAAAGCGUGGGGAGCAAACAGGAUUAGAUACCCCAGUAGUC
rnacentral:rRNA from 1 species